UGACAAACCGGAGGAAGGUGGGGAUGACGUCAAAUCAUCAUGCCCCUUAUGAUUUGGGCUACACACGUGCUACAAUGGACGGUACAAAGGGUCGCUAAACCGCGAGGUCAAGCAAAUCCCAUAAAGCCGUUCUCAGUUCGGAUUGUAGUCUGCAACUCGACUACAUGAAGCUGGAAUCGCUAGUAAUCGUAGAUCAGCAUGCUACG
rnacentral:rRNA from 1 species